rnacentral:rRNA from 1 species
UACAUGGGGUGCAAACGUUGCUCGGAAUUCUUGGGCGUAAAGCGCGCGUAGGCGGUUACUUAAGUCGGAUGUGAAAGCCCUCGGCUUAACUGAGGAAGUGCACCCGAAACUGAGUAGCUAGAGUACGAAAGAGGGUCGCGGAAUUCCCGGUGUAGAGGUGAAAUUCGUAGAUAUCAAGCAGAACACCUGCGGCGAAGGCGGCCUUCUGGACGAUGACUGACGCUGAGACGCGAAAGCGUGGGGAGCAAACAGG